AUUGAACGCUAGCGGCAUGCCUAACACAUGCAAGUCGAACGAGUGGCGGACGGGUGAGUAAUGUAUGGGAAACUGCCCGAUGGAGGGGGCUAACUACUGGAAACGGUAGCUAAUACCGCAUACCAUCGGAUGUGCCCAGAUCGGAUUAGCUAGUUGGUGGGGUAACGGCUCACCAAGGCAACGAUCCCUAGCUGGUCUGAGAGGAUGACCAGCCACACUGGAACGGAGACACGGCCCAGACUCCUACGGGAGGCAGCAGUGGGGAAUAUUGGACAAUGGGCGCAAGCCUGAUGCAGCCAUCCCGCGUGUAUGAAGAAGGCCUUCGGGUUGUAAAGUACUUUUGGCGAGGAGGCGGUAGUCGCAGAAGAAGCACCGGCUAACUACGUGCCAGCCGCCGCGGUAAUAC
rnacentral:rRNA from 1 species